rnacentral:rRNA from 1 species
UUAACUGAAUCCAUAGGUUAAUGAGGCGAACCGGGGGAACUGAAACAUCUAAGUACCCCGAGGAAAAGAAAUCAACCGAGAUUCCCCCAGUAGCGGCGAGCGAACGGGGAGGAGCCCAGAGCCUGAAUCAGUGUGUGUGUUAGUGGAAGCGUCUGGAAAGGCGCGCGAUACAGGGUGACAGCCCCGUACACAAAAAUGCACAUGCUGUGAGCUCGAUGAGUAGGGCGGGACACGUGGUAUCCUGUCUGAAUAUGGGGGGACCAUCCUCCAAGGCUAAAUACUCCUGACUGACCGAUAGUGAACCAGUACCGUGAGGGAAAGGCGAAAAGAACCCCGGCGAGGGGAGUGAAAAAGAACCUGAAACCGUGUACGUACAAGCAGUGGGAGCACAGAGCAAUCUGUGUGACUGCGUACCUUUUGUAUAAUGGGUCAGCGACUUAUAUUCUGUAGCAAGGUUAACCGAAUAGGGGAGCCGAAGGGAAACCGAGUCUUAACUGGGCGUUAAGUUGCAGGGUAUAGACCCGAAACCCGGUGAUCUAGCCAUGGGCAGGUUGAAGGUUGGGUAACACUAACUGGAGGACCGAACCGACUAAUGUUGAAAAAUUAGCGGAUGACUUGUGGCUGGGGGUGAAAGGCCAAUCAAACCGGGAGAUAGCUGGUUCUCCCCGAAAGCUAUUUAGGUAGCGCCUCGUGAAUUCAUCUCCGGGGGUAGAGCACUGUUUCGGCAAGGGGGUCAUCCCGACUUACCAACCCGAUGCAAACUGCGAAUACCGGAGAAUGUUAUCACGGGAGACACACGGCGGGUGCUAACGUCCGUCGUGAAGAGGGAAACAACCCAGACCGCCAGCUAAGGUCCCAAAGUCAUGGUUAAGUGGGAAACGAUGUGGGAAGGCCCAGACAGCCAGGAUGUUGGCUUAGAAGCAGCCAUCAUUUAAAGAAAGCGUAAUAGCUCACUGGUCGAGUCGGCCUGCGCGGAAGAUGUAACGGGGCUAAACCAUGCACCGAAGCUGCGGCAGCGACACUGUGUGUUGUUGGGUAGGGGAGCGUUCUGUAAGCCUGUGAAGGUGUGCUGUGAGGCAUGCUGGAGGUAUCAGAAGUGCGAAUGCUGACAUAAGUAACGAUAAAGCGGGUGAAAAGCCCGCUCGCCGGAAGACCAAGGGUUCCUGUCCAACGUUAAUCGGGGCAGGGUGAGUCGACCCCUAAGGCGAGGCCGAAAGGCGUAGUCGAUGGGAAACAGGUUAAUAUUCCUGUACUUGGUGUUACUGCGAAGGGGGGACGGAGAAGGCUAUGUUGGCCGGGCGACGGUUGUCCCGGUUUAAGCGUGUAGGCUGGUUUUCCAGGCAAAUCCGGAAAAUCAAGGCUGAGGCGUGAUGACGAGGCACUACGGUGCUGAAGCAACAAAUGCCCUGCUUCCAGGAAAAGCCUCUAAGCAUCAGGUAACAUCAAAUCGUACCCCAAACCGACACAGGUGGUCAGGUAGAGAAUACCAAGGCGCUUGAGAGAACUCGGGUGAAGGAACUAGGCAAAAUGGUGCCGUAACUUCGGGAGAAGGCACGCUGAUAUGUAGGUGAAGUCCCUCGCGGAUGGAGCUGAAAUCAGUCGAAGAUACCAGCUGGCUGCAACUGUUUAUUAAAAACACAGCACUGUGCAAACACGAAAGUGGACGUAUACGGUGUGACGCCUGCCCGGUGCCGGAAGGUUAAUUGAUGGGGUCAGCGCAAGCGAAGCUCUUGAUCGAAGCCCCGGUAAACGGCGGCCGUAACUAUAACGGUCCUAAGGUAGCGAAAUUCCUUGUCGGGUAAGUUCCGACCUGCACGAAUGGCGUAAUGAUGGCCAGGCUGUCUCCACCCGAGACUCAGUGAAAUUGAACUCGCUGUGAAGAUGCAGUGUACCCGCGGCAAGACGGAAAGACCCCGUGAACCUUUACUAUAGCUUGACACUGAACAUUGAGCCUUGAUGUGUAGGAUAGGUGGGAGGCUUUGAAGUGUGGACGCCAGUCUGCAUGGAGCCGACCUUGAAAUACCACCCUUUAAUGUUUGAUGUUCUAACGUGGACCCGUGAUCCGGGUUGCGGACAGUGUCUGGUGGGUAGUUUGACUGGGGCGGUCUCCUCCUAAAGAGUAACGGAGGAGCACGAAGGUUGGCUAAUCCUGGUCGGACAUCAGGAGGUUAGUGCAAUGGCAUAAGCCAGCUUGACUGCGAGCGUGACGGCGCGAGCAGGUGCGAAAGCAGGUCAUAGUGAUCCGG